AUAUCAAUAAGCGGAGGAAAAGAAACCAACAGGGAUUGCCUUAGUAGCGGCGAGUGAAGCGGCAAGAGCUCAAAUUUGAAAUCUGGUACCUUCGGUGCCCGAGUUGUAAUUUGAAGAAAGCUAUCUUGGAUUUGGCCUUUGUCUAUGUUCCUUGGAACAGGACGUCAUAGAGGGUGAGAAUCCCGUCUGAUGAGGUGUCCAUUUCUUUGUAAGAUGUUUUCGAAGAGUCGAGUUGUUUGGGAAUGCAGCUCAAAGUGGGUGGUAAAUUCCAUCUAAAGCUAAAUAUUGGCGAGAGACCGAUAGCGAACAAGUACUGUGAAGGAAAGAUGAAAAGAACUUUGAAAAGAGAGUGAAAAAGUACGUGAAAUUGUUGAAAGGGAAGGGUAUUUGAUCAGACUUGGUAUUUAGUUAUCAUGACUCCUCGUGUGUUAUGCUCUAGCUUUUUACUGGGCCAGCAUCAGUUUUGGUGGCAAGAUAAUGACUGUUGAAUGUAGCUCCUUGGAGUAUUAUAGCCUCAGUUGAUAUUGCCUACCGGGACUGAGGUCUGCGGCUUUGCCUAGGAUGCUGGCGUAAUGAUCCAAUACCGCCCGU
rnacentral:rRNA from 1 species